ACAACCUGAAGAGCCACUCCACUCCUAAUUUACCCAUGUACUUCCAGAACUCCACCGGGAUCUCGUCAGGCCUGGUCACUCGACCCCUACUCAUCCUACGCAAAGCCCCCAUGACCUCCUCCGCCCUAAUGCGCCUGCAGUACCCAAGGUCUCUAUGUUGCUCUGAAUGCCCCAACUCCCCUAGCUCUAGUUACGAUCCCCCUCCUCGUUAAGUAAGUCUCAAAAGUACGCCUGCCACCUCUGCUUGAC
rnacentral:lncRNA from 1 species